rnacentral:rRNA from 1 species
AUACGGAGGAUGCGAGCGUUAUCCGGAUUUAUUGGGUUUAAAGGGAGCGUAGGUGGGAUAUUAAGUCAGCUGUGAAAGUUUGGGGCUCAACCUUAAAAUUGCAGUUGAUACUGGUUUCCUUGAGUACGGUACAGGUGGGCGGAAUUCGUGGUGUAGCGGUGAAAUGCUUAGAUAUCACGAAGAACUCCGAUCGCGAAGGCAUCUCACCGGGCCGGAACUGACACUGAUGCUCGAAAGUGCGGGUAUCAAACAGGAUUAGAUACCCUGGUAGUCCGCACAGUAAACGAUGAAUACUCGCUGUUUGCGAGACACGGUAAGCGGCCAAGCGAAAGCGUUAAGUAUUCCACCUGGGGAGUACGCCGGCAACGGUGAAACUCAAAUGAAUUGACGGGGG